GUCGGGGCAAGAGCCAGGC
rnacentral:siRNA from 1 species